rnacentral:rRNA from 1 species
GAUGAACGCUAGCGGCAGGCUUAACACAUGCAAGUCGAGGGGUAUAGGUUUUCGGACCUAGAGACCGGCGCACGGGUGCGUAACGCGUAUGCAAUCUACCUUUCACAGAGGGAUAGCCCAGAGAAAUUUGGAUUAAUACCUCAUAGUAUAGCAGUUUCGCAUGAAACCACUAUUAAAGUAUCAACGGUGAAAGAUGAGCAUGCGUCCCAUUAGCUAGAUGGUAAGGUAACGGCUUACCAGGGCUAGGAUGGAUAGGGGUCCUGAGAGGGAGAUCCCCCAAACUGGUACUGAGACACGGACCAGACUCCUAGGGGGGGAAGCAGGGAGGAAUAUUGGUCAAUGGACGCAAUUCUGAACAAGCCAUGCCGCGUGAAGGAUGACGGUCCUAUGGAUUGUAAACUGCUUUUGUACGAGAAGAAACAACAUUACGUGUAAUGUCUUGACGGUAUCGUAAGAAUAAGGAUCGGCUAACUCCGUGCCAGCAGCCGCCGUAA